rnacentral:rRNA from 1 species
UACGGAGGGUGCAAGCGUUAUCCGGAUUCACUGGGUUUAAAGGGUGCGUAGGCGGGUUGGUAAGUCCGUGGUGAAAUCUCCGAGCUUAACUCGGAAACUGCCGUGGAUACUAUCAAUCUUGAAUACUGUGGAGGUAAGCGGAAUAUGUCAUGUAGCGGUGAAAUGCUUAGAUAUGACAUAGAACACCGAUAGCGAAGGCAGCUUGCUACACAGUCAUUGACACUGAGGCACGAAAGCGUGGGGAGCAAACAGG